rnacentral:rRNA from 1 species
GACGAACGCUGGCGGCGUGCUUAACACAUGCAAGUCGAACGAAGUGGCGAACGGGUGAGUAAUACGUGAGUAACCUGCCCUCCUUUUUGGGAUAAGCCUUGGAAACGGGGUCUAAUACCGAAUAAAGGGGGUUGGGCUCGCGGCCUAUCAGCUUGUUGGUGGGGUGAUGGCCUACCAAGGCGGUGACGGGUAGCCGGCCUGGGGGGGUGAACGGCCAAAGGGGGACGGAGAGACGGACCAGAGUCGAACGGGGGGAAGCGGUGGGGAAUAUGGCAGAAUGAGGGAGAGCGGGAUGCAGCGGCGCCGGGUGGGUGAUGACGGCCUGCGGGGUGUAAACCGCUGUCAGCCAUGACGCGGUAGUGGCAGAAGAAGCACCGGCUAACUACGUGCCAGCAGCCGCGGUAAUUC